GAACUCUCUGAGCUCGGAACUUUCGGCGACUGAGCAAUAAUCGUAUUUAAGUGUUAAGCCUGAAGGGCCCGUCAGCUUUAAUAUAUAAAUUAUUUUCCUAUGACCAACAUAGAUUUUUCAUUUGGAAGCGAAUUGUUUAUGUCUUCUGGGCACUGCAAAGGAUGGUUGAACCGUUCGCUGAAAGCCUGACCAGUUGGCACGAUGGUAGUUCCUACGCUGCAGACUCCUAGGAAUCACCUGUUCACCUAGAAUUAGCACCACCGGAUAAUGGUCGCUGCUCAGGUCGUGCACCACCAUCGGCUGCUGAAUGUUCAUCAUGUUGGUGAUGAAGAUGUCAAGGAUGGAUGGAGCUCCGGCGGGGGAAACGUACGUUGCUUCUUCGGGGCUCAGGAUGUUGUAGUGCCCACAAGGAAGAUCGUUGAAUAUGAUUCUACCGUUUAUAUUUCGCCGGAGGUUCCCCCAGGCUUCAUGUUUGGCGUUCAAAUCACCAGCCAAGACGAAUUUUCCUCUGUUCCGGGUAAGCGCGAUGAAAUCUCUUCUAAACUGCAGACUAGAGCCAUCUCUUUCAUUCACUUGGCGGGGACAGUACGCUGAAAUUAUGUUGAUUGGCCCAGUUGUUGUUGUUAUUUCGAUGCCGAUGGCCUCAAUAAUUUUGAGGUUGAAACUCUUCAUUGUGAGGAACCUUAAGCCUCGCCUCACUGCUAUAGCGACACCGCCCCCACGUGAACUAGUGCGAUCCAGCCGAAUAACGGAAUCAUUAGGAAGGUUGAAGUCUCAGUGAUGGCUGCGAUAUCAAUUUUAUUGUUUCGAAGAAACUCUGCAAGCUCCAACUGUUUUGCUGCAAGGGAGCAGGCAUUCCAGGUGAUGAUCCUAAGGUGAUGGCUGUCCAUAUUUGUAAGCAAAGUCCAUCAUCAUUGUGACUUGGUCCUGUUUUGUUUUACAGGCACGUAAAAGUCGUGUGAACUCGGCGAGGAGGGCACUCAUUUGUUCCGGGGUGUACAGAUCAUCGGACUCUGUCUUUGUUGUUUGGUUUUUGCCUGCUACUACCUGGGCAAAGCUUAGCACUCCAGGGGGGCUUCCAAUCGUUCGCGAUGUUGACUGGGCCGACAUGUUAUCCCCACGGUUUGAUGGUGUGAUCAUGCUGCUUCUGCUCGCUGUGGGAAGCGGAAGAGGCGUCAAUACUAGAAUAUUUCUCCGUGAAUGGGAAUGUGGUGGUACAUCCAUUCGGUGGUUCUGCGAAUUUCUCAUGUUGCGAUUAUUAUUAGCAGACGCUUUCUUCCGCUUCUCAAUGAACUCUGCUCGCUUUAGGCAUUGGCGACUGGUUGACGGGUUAUCUUCUCCGCAAUGUACGCACUUAGUGGUUGCAUCCUCCUUUAUGCAUUCAUUCGUAUGAUGAUUGCCUCCGCAAGAAUUGCAUCGGCUUUGAACAAAACAAUUUUUGGCACCAUGUCCAAAAUUGAGACAAUUUGUGCACUGAGUGACAUCACGAUGGAUGGGUUUGUAACGCUCCCAUUUGACGAUUGUGUGGUCAAUAUCUUUUAUUUCGUUCAGCCCAGCCAAGUUGAUUGAGCCACGCUCUAGAUGAAUGAGGUACAGUUGGUCCCGGUAGGUAAUAUUUUUGUUGCGACGGUUGUUUUUAUGUACGGCCAACACCUUUAAAUUACACUCA